rnacentral:rRNA from 1 species
AUUGAACGCUGGCGGCAGGCCUAACACAUGCAAGUCGAGCGGAUGAAGGGAGCUUGCUCCUGGAUUCAGCGGCGGACGGGUGAGUAAUGCCUAGGAAUCUGCCUGGUAGUGGGGGAUAACGUCCGGAAACGGGCGCUAAUACCGCAUACGUCCUGAGGGAGAAAGUGGGGGAUCUUCGGACCUCACGCUAUCAGAUGAGCCUAGGUCGGAUUAGCUAGUUGGUGGGGUAAAGGCCUACCAAGGCGACGAUCCGUAACUGGUCUGAGAGGAUGAUCAGUCACACUGGAACUGAGACACGGUCCAGCCUCCUACGGGAGGCAGCAGUGGGGAAUAUUGGACAAUGGGCGAAAGCCUGAUCCAGCCAUGCCGCGUGUGUGAAGAAGGUCUUCGGAUUGUAAAGCACUUUAAGUUGGGAGGAAGGGCAGUAAGUUAAUACCUUGCUGUUUUGACGUUACCAACAGAAUAAGCACCGGCUAACUUCGU